rnacentral:lncRNA from 1 species
GAAGCCCUCAAGUCUUCGAAAGCAUCCCUCUUUGUCUGUAUUCCAUCCACCAAGCAAGCACAAGCCCGGUGUGGAUUUGAGAGAGGAGGCAAGCCAGGGAGCAGUUGUACGCGCACGGCCUGAUGGACUUACUCAGCGCCAUUGAGAUAGACUCGCCCUGCAAAGACUGGGGUCCCCAGGAAUGCAUGGUAUUGUUCAAACUGAUUACAGUGACAAAAACGUAAUGAAGGCUGCCUGAUCAAGCCAAUCCUGACAGACUCAACUGCCAAGGAACCAGAAUGCUUUAUUAUAGAAGCAGGUAGAAUUGAGAGAAGAUGCCUGGAAACCUUAUAAACCAGAAAACAGGACUUCUGCUCUGAGCUCAACAUGCUCCCUUGCAGACUCACCUUAGAGGAUCAACCAGAACGGGACGAGACAGCAGAAAUCUCGGCCCCAGCAACCAGAAGGUGACUUGGUGUCAGCUCCGAUGUGUAGGUCAGAGGGGUUGGAGUUCG